rnacentral:misc_RNA from 1 species
CAACUCUCAAGCUCUGCUUGGUGUUGGGUGCCACCUAUCACGGUGCACCUUAAAAUCAGUGGCAGUGCCAUCUGGCUCCCAAGUGUAGUAGUAACAUUUCUCGCUUUGGAAGUUUUGGAUGUGUACUUGCCAACAACCCUCUAAUCUAUCAAA